AUUUCUUUGUCUGCUGCACAGGUGUUGGUGAACUCAUCCCUCGUGUACGCGUUCUUCAGCCAACACAAUCCAAUGGCAAAGUAGCCCAGCAAAGUACAUCUGCCUGAGAAUAAAGCUCACCCUGCAGUGGGAAAAGGAAUACAGGGACCUUGCUGUACCAUGUCUUCUCCUGACAAAAAACGAAAAGCAGUGGAAGAGAUCACAGAAGGAAAAAACAGCGUGUCAAGAUGAUACACCAAAAAACCACAUAUUGCCUAUGAUAUUCUUCUUGUCUGUUGAAAGCCAUCACACAGGAACUGGAACCCUGUACACCACUCCUUCAUUUUUCUAACCAGCCACAUUGGACUGCAAUGAAACAGAAUUUUCUAGCAUAUCUGGAUUUUAGAGAACUGGUUCAACACUGACCACUUUCAGUAUUCCCUUCACUCACUGGGAUUGUUGGUUCUCCAAGUCAUCUGAGCAAUAGUCCAUUGUCAGGAGGAUGUUGGAUGCUUUGUGCUAGUCCAUGGGAUCAGCCAGGUGCGUGCCUAGAGACAGCAGCAGCAGAUUCACAGUUUGAUAUUAUAUGAGACCCAAUACUGUUUUCUGGUAGGAGAGAGGAACAAGCUAAGAAACAGCAAUUUAAGGCUGGCUCAACAGAAUAUUGUAACUUUAAUCUGUAUAGAUUAAUUCUUCUCCAUGGAGGAGCUGUGACUGCGAUACAUGUGACUCUGCACUCCAUAUUGAACAGUUUAUCUUCCC